GACGAACGCUGGCGGCGUGCUUAAUACAUGCAAGUCAACUGAACUUAGGAUAGCAAUAUUUUAAGGGAGGUGGCGCACGGGUGAGUAACACGUAGGUAAUCUGCCUUUAGGUCUGACAUAACCUACCGAAGGUAGGCUAAAAUCAGAUGAUGCAGCGGCUCGACAUCGAGACAGUUGUUAAAUCUUCGGAGCCUAAAGAUGAGCCUGCGUCCGAUUAGGUAGUUGGCGGUGUAAUGGACCACCAAGCCUGCGAUCAGUAGCUGGUCUGAGAGGAUGAUCAGCCACACUGGAACUGAGACACGGUCCAGACUCCUACGGGAGGCAGCAGUAAGGAAUAUUGCUCAAUGGCCGAAAGGCUGAAGCAGCAACGCCGCGUGGAGGAUGAAAUACUUUGUAUGUAAACUCUGUAAGAAGGGAAAAUGUUCCGAUUCAUCGGAAUUGAUUGUA
rnacentral:rRNA from 1 species